GCCAGGCGUGGUGGUGCAUGCCUGUAAUCCUAGCUACUUGGGAGGCUGAGGCAUGAGAAUCGCUUGAACCCAGGAGGUGGAGGUUGCAGUGAGCCGAGAUCAUGCCACUGUACACUGUACUCCAGCCUGGGCAACAGAGUGAGACUGUGUCUCAA
rnacentral:SRP_RNA from 1 species